rnacentral:rRNA from 1 species
GUAGGGAAUAUUGCACAAUGGGCGAAAGCCUGAUGCAGCAACGCCGCGUGCGCGAAGAAGGCCUUCGGGUCGUAAAGCGCUUUUCGGGGAGAUGAGGAAGGACAGUAUCCCCGGAAUAAGGCUCGGCUAACUACGUGCCAGCAGCCGCGGUAACACGUAGGAGCCAAGCGUUAUCCGAAUUCACUGGGCGUAAAGCGCGUGCAGGCGGCUUGAAAAGUUGGAUGUGAAAGCUCCUGGCUCAACUGGGAGAGGACGUUCAAAACUAUCGAGCUAGAGGACGGCAGAGGGAGGUGGAAUUCCCGGUGUAGUGGUGAAAUGCGUAGAUAUCGGGAGGAACACCAGUGGCGAAGGCGGCCUUCUGGGCCGUUUCUGACGCUCAGACGCGAAAGCUAGGGGAGCGAACGGGAUUAGAUACCCCUGUAGUCC